UGAAUGCACUACUGUAAAUCGCUCUGAAUAAGAGUGUCUGCUAAAUGGCUAAAA
rfam:Salmo salar isolate Sally breed double haploid chromosome ssa01, whole genome shotgun sequence.